rnacentral:lncRNA from 1 species
GGUGAACCCUGAAAUGUAGUCUCCUCUUAAAGUUAUCAGCAGGAAUCAGGGUAGGAUUCCUUCUGGGAUUCUCCAUUCUCCAUUCUCCAGGGCUUAUUCUUGAGCUAACUGUAAUUUUGCAUCUUGAGCAUGAUGACGUUGUGUGUGUUGCUAAGCAGAUUGAUGAAGACUCUGCCAUCUUCAAGGCAGAUGGUUGAAGAUGGUUCCCAAGGUCACCAUGGCCCGUGAUGUGAAGCCAGAAAAGGAGCAGAGUACAGAUGCCUGGAUCUCCCACUCACCAAAAUCUUCUUCAAUCAGACUCUCUUUCUUGGAUUUCAUGGGUGGAAAGACCCUGGCCAGCUCCCUGGGGUGGUUCAUCACACCCAAGUCUUUCCUGAUGAACUUGCCUCAAGUCUUUGAAGACACAUUUAACACAUCACAUCACCCUUGUUAUACUGUGCUAAUGCUUGACUGCUGAGAAAUCUUGAUGCUGGAUGAUCUCACAUUCUACUUUCUUCAAGAAUCUUCACAAACUUAAACAAUUGGGAAUGGGUGUGUGUGUGUGUGUGUGUGUGUGUGUGUGUGUGUGUGUGUCUAUGUAUGUCCUUUCUUCCUCUGGCAAUCAUGAGCCUAUUUCCCAGAGCCCAUUGAAGUACCUACUACAUUCCCAUAGUAACUAUAUUUCCAGAAUGUUCCUGGUCCAAAUCAGAUUUGAGAUUGCCUCUGGUUCAUCCCUACACGGCUCCUGCCUUUGGUAGAGGUGCUCUGGGCAAUAUGAUGCUCAACAAAUAUUAUCUCCCUAUGCCUAAAGCCCAAAAUCACCACUGCCAUUCUAAGUUGUCAAUAUAACAUGUAAGAAACAUUCAUUAAAUGUUGUAAGUUGAAAGUGUUUAUUUACCUCCACUGUGUGCCAAAUGCCACAAAAUUUAUAGUAUGGAGAAAAAAUACAUAAAUCCUUG